rnacentral:tRNA from 1 species
CCGGGCGACGGGCCGGCUCCGGCCGGUCGGCUUGAGGCCGGUACCCGGGCGGCGUUCGUGUCGACGACGACCGAUCGGAUCGGCCUCGCCCCGAC